rnacentral:rRNA from 8 species
GGUGGUUAUAGCACGAGGGUUCCACCUCUUCCCAUUCCGAACAGAGAAGUUAAGCCUCGUCACGCCGAUGGUACUGCGUAACAGUGGGAGAGUAGGUAGCCGCCGUUU